UUUUAAAAUGACAUAUUGAAAGAGUUUCGAGAGUUAGAGAAGUAAAAUUGUCAUUUUACAUAAUAUGCAGUAUUACUGGCUUUCAGUAAUUCAAGAUACACGUCCCCCCUCUCAUUAAUAUUUUUGGUGUAAUUCUGUACCAUUUUUAAUACUACAUUACCGACCCGAUUACAUACCGGAUGAACCAAACACGGUAAUCCUGACAGGAUUGCUCGUAAUCCUGUCAGAAUAACCUGAACCAAAUGCACUCUUAUGAGUAUAAAGCCCAUGAGUUGUUUUCAAUGAUGGAGCUUCUGAAUCAAUGAUUCACUCCGUUAAAUAUAAUCUAGAGUAUUUGAAAGUUCUAAAAAAUAAAUUUUGUAAUUUUUUGAAAUUAUAAUAAAGUCUAUCAAGCAGGUAAAAAAUGAACAAUUAAAAUCGAACGGCGUUCUAAAAAUAGAUGAUCAGAUCCUUCAAUUUCAUAUUAGAGUUAUUAAUCUUUAUCUAGAUAGUGAUUAAUCAAAAAUUCAAUCGAUUUCGAUUCUUUUACACUGUUAAACUAGCAAGUAUCUCAUAUUGGCUUUUAAAAUUAUUAAUUUUGAGAUUUUUUAAUCGUAAGGUAAAUAAUGUUAAAAAAAUAUAAAAUUUGAUUUCUACAAGUUUUAAAUACUCUAGAAAAUAUUUAACGGCAUGGAUUAUCGUUUCGAAAAUUUUAUUAUUGAAAACA
rnacentral:lncRNA from 1 species